AAAACCAAUGCCCUUCGGGGCUUCCUGGUGAUUCAUAAUAACUUCUCGAAUCGCACGGCCUUGCGCCGGCGAUGGUUCAUUCAAAUUUCUGCCCUAUCAACUUUCGACGGCUGGGUCUUGGCCAGCCGUGGUGACAACGGGUAACGGAGGGUUAGGGCUCGACCCCGGAGAAGGAGCCUGAGAAACGGCUACUACAUCCAAGGAAGGCAGCAGGCGCGCAAAUUACCCAAUCCCGACACGGGGAGGUAGUGACAAUAAAUACUGAUACAGGGCUCUUUUGGGUCUUGUAAUUGGAAUGAGUACAAUUUAAAUCCCUUAACGAGGAACAAUUGGAGGGCAAGUCUGGUGCCAGCAGCCGCGGUAAUUCCAGCUCCAAUAGCGUAUAUUAAGUUGUUGAGGUUAAAAAGCUCGUAGUUGAACCUUGGGCCUAGCCGACCGGUCCGCCUCACCGCGUGCACUGGUUCGGUUGGGUCUUUCCUUCUGGAGAACCUCAUGCCCUUUACUGGGUGUGUUGGGGAACCAGGACUUUUAC
rnacentral:rRNA from 1 species